rnacentral:rRNA from 1 species
AGUGAACGCUGGCGGUAGGCCUAACACAUGCAAGUCGAACGGCCGCACAGUAAGAGCUUGCUCUUACGGGUGGCGAGUGGCGGACGGGUGAGGAAUACAUCGGAAUCUACUUUUUCGUGGGGGAUAACGUAGGGACACUUACGCUAAUACCGCAUACGACCUACGGGUGAAAGCAGGGGAUCUUCGGACCUUGCGCGAUUGAAUGAGACGAUGUCGGAUUAGCUAGUUGGCGGGGUAAAGGCACACCAAGGCGACGCUCCGUAGCUGGUCUGAGAGGAUGAUCAGCCACACUGGAACUGAGACACGGUCCAGACUCCUACGGGAGGCAGCAGUGGGGAAUAUUGGACAAUGGGCGCAAGCCUGACCCAGCCAUACCGCGUGAGUGAAGAAGGCCUUCGGGUUGUAAAGCCCUUUUGUUGGGAAAGAAAAGCAGCAGGUGAAUACCCCGCUGUUCUGACGGUACCCAAAGAAUAAGCACCGGCUAACUUCGUG